UUAUAAUUGAGUGAGUGCACUAAUAUUAGUGCUAUAUUUAUUUUAAUUUGGUCACAUGAAUAAUUAUGCUAUGACAUUUCAUUAAUUGUGACUAGUUUUCCAUGAUUUAAUUUGUGUGGCUUAACACAUGGUUUAUUUUCCACCACACAAUACUACACUCUCACUUGAUUAUUAUAAUCAAUUAGACAUGUGUGUUUUAAUCAAGUGGCUUAGUGAAUAAGCUUGAGCAUUUACUUGUUGGCUAAGUUUGGAAGCAAGUGGAGGAUUUUAAACAAAACACUUUCUCUUUCUUCUCACUUCCUCCCUAACUCACGGCCUCACCCUUUUCUCUCUCUAAUCUUCCUUUCCUCCAUUAAUCCUCCAUGAUCGAAGAACACCAAGCUUUUUAGAUCAUCUCUACACCAUAGAUCUCCAUCAAAUUCAAGCUUUAAACAUCUAUAGCCUUGAAUCAAGAGCAUACUUGAAGGAGUUUCAAGAUUUGAGCCAAAGGUGAUUUUUGUUUAUUUCCAAAUCCUUGAGUCCGGGCGACAGGAAGUGAAGCCGAAGAAGAAGCGACUCCACGCUAGCUUAAGAACGUUUGAGGUCCGGGCGACAGGAAGUGAAGCCGAAGAAGAAGCGACUCCACGCUAGCUUAAGAACGUUUGAGGAAAUCCAAUUGGGAUCCUAUGCUAGACAAAGGUCGCUAGCUAGGGUUAACGUGUACACUCAUGGAGACCGCGAGUCGCUUGCGACCGGUCUUGGCGUCCGUGGUAAGGAGGCCUCCUUCCCGGCGCGUGACAGAAAGGAACAGAUAUGGAUCAUAUGAAGGAAAAUGGGUCGGCCGGCCAAUCUUAUGAAAAUGAAAGAAAUGUUUUAGUAAGCGCAGGACUUUCAAGAAAACCCCUGUGUGUUACUGUUAUGGCAGUUCAAUUUAUAUAUGUAUGCAUGUUUGUUUUUCGGCUUAUGCCACUGAGUAUUUUUAUACUCAGCCCUGCAUGUAUUUUUAAAUGUGCAGGUUGAGCAGGCGAUGGAAUGGUUUGGUGUUGAGCGGGAAUUCUUUUGAAGGAUAUGUAAUGAAACCUUGAGUAUGCAUCUCCAUAUGCAUAAUUCACACGUUUUUCCGCUGCAAACACUCUGAUAUCGUUAUCGUUCUGUUGAACUUAGUACUCUUUUGUUUUGAAUGACUUUCUCUUGGGUCUAGUCGUAUAAUAUGACCGUUUGUAAAAUACCCAAGCAGUUGUAUAUAUAUAUAUUACUAGUUUGUUGAUUAAAUAUUA